CGGGACUGUGGAGGAGAGACACAUUUUCAGAUCUUUUCUUCUUUUUGGGCGUGUGGCUGAAGUCAACGACAGAGUGUGAAGUGUUUUUAUGAAGAAAAGCAGGAAACUUCACCAAACAUGCUGCAGUUUUAUUUAUUUCUCCUGAUACUGAUGUCUGUAUUUACAUGUUGUUUUUCAGAAGACGCUGCUGUCUCCUGUGUUCUUCUGGAGACCUGUGUUCUGCCCUGCAGCUUUGAGUCUGGACCAGACCCUCUGAUCCACUGGACCAAAGAACCUCAUGAUCAAACUCCAGUUCAUAUUUACUAUAAAGGUCAGAACCAGUUUCAUAUCCAGCACCAGAACAUUAGAGGUCGGGCCUCUCUGUUUGUGGAGGAACUGUCCACAGGAAACGCAUCACUGUGACUCUCAGGGGUCAAAGUUCAGGAUGAAGGAAGCUACAGGUGUCAAGCCAAUGCCAUCGGCAGCCCCAACAUCACAGACUCUUAUGUGGAUGUGUUUGUUUGUGCUCCAGCUCCAGUGUCUCUGCAGCAGCAGGGGCAGGAGCUCCUCUGUAGAUCUGAGGGAGUCUACCCCAAACCCUCAGUGUCCUGGAGCCCUCCCUCCUCUGCAGCUCUUACCACGGUGACCCCCUCAGAGGGCGGAGUGUGGUCUGUGCACAGCUCUGUGUCUCUGCCUCACAGCCCUCCACAUCAAUACAGCUGUAAUGUGAGCAACAGCAGGGGCAGCUGGAGGAGCGCCACCUACAGGAGGAACAGACACAUUGAUUAUCACACAGAUGUUUUAGAUUUUGUGACAAUCUCCUGCACUGAACCCUCUGCUCCAGUGAAGAGUCUCAUUUGGAGGUUCAACCAGAGUCAGAUCAUUCUGAGUCUGGUCUGGACCAGAGUCGGUCUACACUGAGUCCUGGAGACAGUUUGUUGUUGGAGUCACAAAGUCCAACAGUCUGAUCCUGAAGAAUCUGACCAAAGAGCAGCUGGGCCUGUUCUCCUGUGAACUCAAGACUGAACAGGAGAACUUUAUUAUCCUCACUGAACUGAAGGACAAAUAAAAGGAAAACCCUCAGAUGUGUGGAUAAUUAUAGUUGUUUCAACUGUAUCCAUGAUUUGCUUGUUCACCACUCUUUUCGUCUGUUGGAAACGUCCCUGGGUGAGUAGAUCUAGUAUCAGAUCCAGUUUGUUUGUGUUGUUCUGUCAGGACCAGAGCAGUUGAACCCUGGCGUUCUCUUUGAAAAGCAUCUGGAGCCUCGUCACAGAAAAUCACCUUCAAGUUUGUGAAGGACCAAUCACAGUCAUUUAUCUGCAACAUGUGAGCUGCUGUAAACGCAGGAACAAGCCUCCUCAGAUAUCUCUGUUUCAUGGAGUGAGACUUUAGAACACCUUAUUGUCUUAUUAAGGCCUUAUGAACCUGGUGUUCCUGUUUCUUUGUCUCCUGAUGAUCUGAAGCUCUGUCUGUGGCUCAGUUCUCUGUGUCAUUUUUCAGACAUUUUAAAAUCACUUCAGUCUCAUCCAACAAAAGCAUCAAAACAAACGUUACACUUUUGUA